rnacentral:rRNA from 1 species
UUUAAUAAACACACGCCUUAUCCUGAGGGUGAAAAUGUAGCAUAAUCAUUUGGCAUUUAAUUGAUGUCUAGUAUGAAAGGUGAAACGACUUAUAUACUGUCUCAACUUUAAGGUUAAUGAAAUUAGAUUAAUAGUGAAAAUACUAUUAAAAUAAUAUAAGACGAGAAGUCCCUAUAAACUUUUACUAUAUAAUGGUGAUAAGAUUCUUAUGAAUAUAGUUUGACUGGGGCGGUCGUCUCUUAAAAGAACAGAGAUUAUUUUUAAUUAAAAAAACCUUUUUUUUUUUUUUUUUUUUAUUAAAUAUAUGUAUUUAAUAUUGUUAGAAAAUUAAAAUAAUGACCUCUUUUUAAUAUAACAAUUAAAAAACUAUAAAAAAUAAAAAGUACUUUAGGGAUAACAGCGUAAUUCUAUCUGGAGGUCUUAUCUAAGUAUAGUGUUUGCGACCUCGAUGUUGGCUUAAGAUAACCUGAAGGUGUAGAAGUUUCAAAG